GUUGCCUUUGGGCCAGGUACCACAUCAACUUCUUUAAGGAAAUAUGGUGUUCCUAGAGAUGAGAAUGCUGGUAACAGCAGUAGGUCAGAGAUAAAAGACUCUAUUGAUGAUGAUGGAAAAAUCAUCAGUUCUUCACUUUCAACUGUCACAGAAGAUGGGAGCAUUGAUUCUCCUUCAGAUGCCAUUGCAGCAUUGCCCCUGAAAAUCAAGAAAGAUUACAGACAACCUUGGGAUUACAAAGAUACCG
rnacentral:misc_RNA from 1 species